AGGACGAACGCUGGCGGCGUGCUUAACACAUGCAAGUCGAGCGGAAAGGCCCUUCGGGGUACUCGAGCGGCGAACGGGUGAGUAACACGUGAGCAACCUGCCCCUGGCUCUGGGAUAGCCCUUCGGAAACGGGGAUUAAUACCGGAUAUUCACUGCUUCCUGCAUGGGGGUGGUGGAAAGUUUUUCGGCUGGGGUGGGGCUCGCGGCCUAUCAGCUUGUUGGGGGGUGGACGGCCCACCAAGGCGACGACGGGUAG
rnacentral:rRNA from 1 species